UGUGGCUCUGUGCUGCUGCAAGGAGGCUGUCGAGCGUUUGAACUGAAAGCAAAAUAGAAGUUGCUCAUGGAUACCUUUGCAAAACACUGGCACUCAGUGAACAGCAGGACAAGAAGUGCCUUCCCUGAGGUAAUUUUCUAGGAGAAUCCAGGACUUCUGAGCUCCCCCCAUUUC